ACAAACUAAACAAUCAUAGGUAUCUAUGCAUACACCUAUGCAUAUACAAAUAUAGAAAAUGUAUGCGAAAAUAUUGAUCCAGUUUUGUCACAUGGUUUCAAAAUGAAUGCACUCAACGAAAUAUAUAUUAAUGAGGUGUUGCUUAAAAUUGAAAGCUUUGCGCUUUCGAAUUGAUCAAUGAAAUUUUCUUUUUUUUAACAAGUUUCAAUUUCGAUUUUGUUAUAUUUUUUUAAUAUGUUAAAGCAUUUUUGAAGGUUUAUAUUUCAAAUCAUAAGUUUACAUAUACAUAUGUUUGCACUGUACAUGUGCAAUCACCUACAUUUUUCGACUUGCUUUAUCUUGUAAAUUACUUGCCCUUUCGGAAUACAAAAGGCAUUGUCAGCCCUCAAUGGCCAAUUACUGAGUUGUGUAUUUGCGUGCCCACAUCUUAUGUUUUAAAGCAUUCAUGUUCGACACAAAUAAAAUGCAUCGCUUUGCCAAUUAGAGGGACUAAUAUACAGGAAAAUAAGAUAUACAUACCUCUAUAAAAAAUUUGAUAACAUUAAAAAUUUGAGUUUUGUCUAAAUAAAAGUUAUUGACAACCUUAUGUUACAAAAAUGUAACCUUGGUUAAGAAAUUACAACACGGUAGAAGGGCAUAUACAGGUACUAGAAUUUACAAAAUUAAUUUCGGACAUGUUUUUAACCAUAUAUUGAAGUUUAAAAAAUAAACAAGGCGCCACUACAACAGUUAUUUUAAGGCAUGCCCAACAUGAGUUUUUUUUUGCUUUGGCAUCAAAGCUUAAAUACCUUUGUAUGUAUAUGUAAAUAUACCCUUCAGUUCAAAAAAAAAAAAU